GUAGCUCAGACCACUUUGAAAAGGUAAUUUUACUAACCUUUUCUUCCAUGCCACGCUGAUCUUGCUGCGUCUGGCUCCGCCUUCAAGGCUGAGGUCCUCAAUUUUGAUGAUCUCACCCAUAGGUGUGCGCACGGGGUGUGCCAGGUGUGCCUGGGCACACCCUAAUCCCCGCGAUACACCUAUGGAUUGAGAGCGGCAGGGGAGAUCUCAGGAUCUCCCCUGUUGGCUCAUGCAGAGCCGGCGCUAUUUGAGCGCCGGCUCUGCUCUAAGCCUCCAUGGGCCGGUGGGGAGAUCAAAGAUCUACCUCACCGGCCGUGUUCCUCUUGCGAGAGCUGAGUGUUGCCACGGCAAGUCUCAGAUCUCGCGAGAGUGAACUCAAUCCCCACAGGCUAGAGUUCACUCUCCUCUGGACCACCAGGGAUGGUACAUAGCAGCAAGAAUCUCCCCUCCCUACAUAAGGUAAGAAGGGAGGGGGGAUAUUUACUAAUCUGCCCCCACCUCCACCCCCACAAUCCUUCCAAAUAUACAGCACACACACAUACAGCACCCUCACACAAACAGCACCCAUACACACACAGCACCCACACACAUACAGUACACAAACAGCACCUAUACACACACAGCACCCUCACACACAGUACACUAACAGCACCCUCACAAACACACAGACAGCACCCUUACAAACACACAGCACCCUCACACACAGCACACUAACAGCACCCUCACAUACACACACACAACACCCUUACACACACAGCACACAAACAGCACCUUCACACACAGCACUAACAGCACCCUCACAAACACACAACACCCAUACACAUCACACAAACAGCACCCUCACACACACAGCAUCCUCACACAGCACACUAACAGGACCCUAACAAACACACACACACACAAACACCCUCACACACACAGAGCACCCUCACACACAUCACACAAACGGCACCCUCACACAUACAGCAUCCUCACACAGCACACUAACAGGACCCUAACAAACACACACACACAAACACCCUCUCUCACACACACACAGCACCCUUACACACACAUCACACUAACAGCACCCUCACACACAGCACCCUUACAUACACAGCACCCUCACAAGACCCUCACACAGCACACUCACAGCACACACACACAGCAGUGUAUG